AAAGCACGGGUCCUUCCCCCGCCCGCCCAAGGAUAGCAUCCAGAGAAGUGUCCAGAGCUAGUACCCAUACCACCAGGGAUCUAAGCGUCCGCCAGAGGUGCCCACGCUUCUAGAGGUGGGGAUAGCAAGAAGGUAACAAAGUCUUCCCCGUGUCACUUGACAGGUGUGCCUUGAGCUGAGAGGCUGUUGAAGAUUUGGGCCGUUGGAGUAGCCUUCUAUCACAGUACUGCAGACAAUUUGUAACUACCCGUGAGAACUGCUCUCCGGUCUCAGGAGCGUCCAAAGGUAAUGGCAGCCUGUGUUUCAAAGCCCCACCCCCCCACGAUUAAGCACAAGAGGAGCAGGUGUUUCUCUUUCUCCCCCUCCUUCCUCUAUGGGCUGGCCCAAGGCCGGGGCGGGGGCCGUCACCAGGACUCACCUCUGAUGCCUUCAGGACAAGCUGAUGUGGCACACGCAGCACGGCCCAGGAGCCUCCCGGCGAGGGAGCGAUCCAGAUGGAGCGCCUAGCCUGCAAACGGAGGUGACCUUUCAAGAGCGCCGCCAGCCAGGGUCAACGAGGAAUUUGCUGUGGGGACUCAGGAAUCCCCCCCGCGCCCCGCCCGCCCCCCCCCCGCAGUCGCAUCACUCUCCUGUCACGUGGGAGGAGGCCUUGGUGCCCAAGAUACAUAACCCAGAAAUCAUCAACUGAGAGUUUAAUAAAUUUGGUCAUAUAAAAUUAUAUAGCUUCUUGACAGCCCAAACCAGCCAGCCUAGUCCUU